ACGUAUGUGUAAACCUAUAUGUGCCUUGUGAUUGGUAUUUUUGUUUUAUUUUUAAUCUAUUUUAAUAUUAAACAAACGCAGGAAUUUCGCUACGGUUCUUAAUUUUGUCACAAUACAAGCCACUCGCGUCUUGACUACCGCUGCGUUGCGUCACAGUACAUCUGUAUGACAUCGCGUCAUAGGCGCUUCGCAAUCGCUUGCGAUUAUUACGUCAUAGUCCGGUUCACGCCAGAGAGCGCACGUUUGUGACGUCACAAUGCGGUUUCUUUUAUACGCUUGCUUUUCGCAUCACUUUUUCAUGGGGCCCCAUGCGCGCUUGCGUCGUCGCAAGGCACAUUACUUAUCCUUACAUAUUAAUUUUAAUCUAAAAUAUAUUCGUGCUGUUAGCUAAAGUGAAGCACAUGAAGAUCAAAGAUUUGGUAAAGUAUAAAUCACAAUAUAGGCAUUGUUACGUACACCAGUUCUUUUCUAGAUGACAUCAUAGAUGUGACGUCACGAAGUGGUGAUGACGCAACAGAAGAACCCACUUCAACAUGGUAUGUGACGUCACAAAGGAUCAGGAGGACAAAGGGCGAAUCGGGAAUAAAGAAAGGCCAGCGUAUAUGCUGCAAGAAAAACGAAGAGCAAAGACAAAGACGACGAUAAGGAUGCCGGUUUGAGGUUUUUCUUAGGCUUAGAAGUUGUGUGUUGUUGGGUGUGGUUGCUGGAGCACUCUUACAGUGUUGCCGGAUUUGUGUUUGUCGUUCAUUUUUGCUGGACCUAAUGUUGCCAGCCGUUUUGUCAGUCACUACUUUAGUGCAUUUUGCAUGUCAAUGAAAUAUUUGCAAUGAAACUAUGGCGAACAUCUUGCUGGAUCGGAUUUUGUUGUUGUACACGUCAUUGUGUGUUUCUUCUGCAAAGGUCGAUUCCUUUAGCGAUUCUGCAUUGUCCUAAUCACUUGAUAAGAUCGGCAUGUUGGUACACAAAUACUUGAGUAAUAUCCACGCGCAUUAUAAUAUACACGCAGUUAAACUUUUAUAUUUUAUGUACCUCAUUUUUAUUAAUUAAUUGACCCUGUUAACUUGUUGCUAUGUUUUACAAAGCCUAAUUGUGACGCUGGCCACGUUACAAUUACGCUAUACGUCGAUGGGUCUUUAAGACCCGCAGCGUUCGGUGUGGUUAUGUCACGGUUCUAGACUGAGUUACGUUACCGUUGGGUUGUUGCGUGGACGUCGCCGCCAGUGAUGCUACGCUAGUUUUAGGUCACUGCCAGUACAGUGAUGCUACGCUCGGUUAUUUAGAUCACUAUUAGUGCGGUUCGUUACAACCUGACGCAGUUUCAUGACGGUCGAAGGCGUGCUUAACAUCCAAACGAUAUUAUAUUGCGUGAAGAUACGACGAGAGUAUCGCGGUACCAACAUGGCGACUUAUCAGGUGAUUGGGACAUGCGGAGCCGUUAUUGGCUUCGACUCCUUGUGGUCGAACAUUUAAUGAUUUGUACACUGCAGCUGAUUAUCCUUCAGGAUUUAAACCAUAUUUUCUUUGAAAAUGUUUCAAUGAUUAUGUCCGCGUUAAUUAACUUUUUAUAACCGUUUCAUUUUUGGUGAUGAUUGAGCUGUUGCGUGUGUUGCAUGCUUAUUUGCACCUCGUAUUAUUUUUGUCUUUUUGUCGUUGUGUGUCGUGCACAUGUGUUUGUGCAUUCGUUGUAUCAUUUUUGUCUAUUGGGGUUUCUUUAACCUGCGUGGACAGUAACAUCCCGCAAGGGUUUCUCACCAGAGUAGAAACCCACUACCAUUGGCUGGGG